rnacentral:tRNA from 1 species
UGGUCUGAAGCUCAAACGUGGACGAGCGCCCGGCCCGUCAGGCGGGAGGUUGUAGGUUCGAAUCCUGCCAGACCAG